GACGAACGCUGGCGGCGCGCUUAACACAUGCAAGUCGAGCGAGAACCAGACCUUCGGGUCUGGGGACAGCGGCGAACGGGUGAGUAACACGUGGGUAAUCAACCCUCGGUACUGGGAUAGCCCGGGGAAACCCGGAUUAAUACCGGAUGGCCCUUCGGAUCUUCGGUUCUGAAGGAAAAGGUAGCUUCGGCCUCCGACCGAGGACGAGCCCGCGGCGGAUUAGCUUGUUGGUGGGGUAACGGCCUACCAAGGCGACGAUCCGUAGCUGGUCUGAGAGGACGAUCAGCCACACUGGGACUGAGACACGGCCCAGACUCCUACGGGAGGCAGCAGUGGGGAAUCUUGCGCUAAUGCGGGAGACCGUGACGCAGCGACGCCGCGUGGGGGAAGAAGGCCUUCGGGUUGUAAACCUCUUUCAGGAGGGACGAAGCUACUCGGGUUAAUAGCCCAGAGGGUGACGGUACCUCCAGAAGAAGCCCCGGCUAACUACGUGCCAGCCGCCGCGGUAAUAC
rnacentral:rRNA from 1 species